AUUGAACGCUGGCGGCAGGCCUAACACAUGCAAGUCGAACGAGUGGCGGAGGGGUGAGUAAUGUCUGGGCAACUGCCUGAUGGAGGGGGAUAACUACUGGAAACGGUAGCUAAUACCGCAUACCAUCAGAUGUGCCCAGAUGGGAUUAGCUUGUUGGUGGGGUAACGGCUCACCAAGGCGACGAUCCCUAGCUGGUCUGAGAGGGUGACCCGCCAAAAUGGGACUGGGACACGGUCCAGACUCCUAAGGGAGGCAGCAGGGGGGAAUAUUGGACAAUGGGCGAAAGCCUGAUGCAGCCAUGCCGCGUGUAUGAAGAAGGCCUUCGGGUUGUAAAGUACUUUCGGCGGGGAGGCGUUACCCGCAGAAGAAGCACCGGCUAACUCCGUGCCAGCAGCCGCGGUAAUAC
rnacentral:rRNA from 1 species